UGAAAAGCAUUGUUACAAAAGCAUUACCAAAAAUUCAAGAAUACUCUGAUGUGACUCAGAUGGUUUGUCCUUCAUCUGAAGAAAGGAUUCCUUGCACUUAGCCUCUGCAAGUACACAAAGCCUGAGAUACAGUGAUGCUACUUCAGGAAUGACAUUACCAACAGGAGUUUCAGACUUUUUGCUGGAAUGUUUGGAUAUGGAGACUACUCUGGACUGUAGUUAUACCACA